CUGCCUAGAAUUCCAGAAUGAAUCUUGUAGUAAUUCACGAGAGAAACUUGUUAAAAGUACAAACCUAUUGGAAUAUAGUGAAUCGUUACGACUGUACUUAGUCGGCCGCCUCCCAAACUGACCAGAUGUGGAUCAUUCGCAGUGACUCGUAAUCCACCGGAUGCAUUCGGAUCUUUUUUCUUCAAAGACAUCUGAAACGGCAAAGAGAACGUCAAGCAAAUUCCAGUGUCAAGAAAUUCAAUAUCAGAUUAUUCAACAGCGUGACCAAUCAUGUCUCCCAUAUUAUGGAAUUUUUAGAUGCUUUGGACAGAAUAUCAUCAGGAUUUGAAUAAAAAACGUUGAAUCAAAUGUGCCCAGCCGAAUGCAUUGUUGAGUUCACAUUUCAAAUGUGUAUUUACCGUGAAAUUACAUGUGUGAGAUGUUCUGUUCGUCGUGCAAUUAAACACUACUUUCGUGCAACAUGAACAAUGCGUUAAGUGUAGUUUUAACAGAGAUCUUUUGUACCUCGCAAUUUUCUACGAUGCUUUUGUACAGAGUUUGGAAGAUCCAUCAUUUGUCACGUGCGCAACAAUGUGUAUAGUAGAUACAGGUAAAUGCUACGCUAGGAGUUUUUUUAAGUUUCAAUUAUUAUGAGGCAGAGGCAGGUCAUUUGUCGAAAUAAAGAACGAAACUGUUCCCUCAACCUUUUUACAGAUUUUAUCAUGAACCACAAGAUAUUUUUUUCCGCUUUUUUGGUUAAUUGAUUAUUUUUGCAUUUUGAAUAGCUGUUUAACAAGAGCUAGACCAUUUAUGUGAGCCUCUAGAGAUUUAAAUCGAAAUGUUUAGAGAGAGAGAGAACACCAAUGUGGAAAAAGGCGAAGCUCCUGUGGAAUAACUAGAUGGACACUGCUGCAUCACCAGGUGUGGCAAUGUCCAAAUAAAACUGAAGACAGCGGA